rnacentral:lncRNA from 1 species
UGCAACUGUCGUAUAUAAGUCGACUUGCCAUUGAGGCAUUUUUAUUGAGAGGGGAUAGCGAAGCAAUACCAACAGUCAGAAAAGAAGAAGGUCUUAUCAUCCGUAAAUAAAAACUGAAGGACGAUUAAUAACUGGUGAUGAUAAUGUCUUUCUCACAAAAGAUUUCAAUUAUUAUCGGGAUUAUACUUUUAUGGACGGUCACACAGGCAGAGAGGCAGCUAUGUCAGGUUAAAGGUCGCGGCUGCAGGGACAUCAGAUUGAAACGUUACCACAGAGGUCGGUGUGCUUUACUUGGCGACAUAUAUGGAAAGGUUAUGGGAUGUCAACGGUAUGGUUCACGUUGCCGAUGCAACGUUAUUGGACACCGCCCGGGUAAUACUGGAACAGGUUAUGCCGGGUCGGAAUACUAUGACCAGAUUUUGUAUUCUGAAAUAUACAAUAAUUGAAAUUGCUAUCAUUUGAAAACAUUCUGGUACUCUUUAUACUAAUAAUUGCAAAAUAGAAGGAUAUUUGUAGAUGAAUGCAGUAAUAUUCUGUGUUUAUUAAACAGACUUUGAGAAUGUGUGAUUUUGUAUUCUGAAAUAUGAAAUAAUUGAAAUUGCUACAAUAUUACAUUGCUUUAAAAGUUAUUUGAAAAUAUUCUGAUACUCGUUAGACUAAUAGUUGCAAAAUAGAAGGAUAUUUGUAGAUGAAUGCAGUAAUAUUCUGUGUUUAUUAAACAGACUUUGAGAAUAUGUGAUUUAAUAUUUAAAUAAAACAAACAAUUGAU